rnacentral:rRNA from 1 species
UACGUAGGGGGCAAGCGUUGUCCGGAAUCAUUGGGCGUAAAGAGCGUGUAGGCGGCCCGGUAAGUCCGCUGUGAAAGUCCAGGGCUCAACCCUGGAAUGCCGGUGGAAACUGUCGGGCUAGAGUCCGGAAGAGGCGAGUGGAAUUCCUGGUGUAGCGGUGAAAUGCGCAGAUAUCAGGAGGAACACCAAUGGCGAAGGCAGCGCGCUGGGACGGUACUGACGCUGAGACGCGAAAGCGUGGGGAGCAAACAGG